rnacentral:rRNA from 1 species
ACGAACGCUGGCGGCGUGCUUAACACAUGCAAGUCGAACGGAAAGGCCCUGCUUGCAGGGUGCUCGAGUGGCGAACGGGUGAGUAACACGUGGGUGAUCUGCCCCUUACUUUGGGAUAAGCCUGGGAAACUGGGUCUAAUACUGGAUAGGACCAUGCUGUAGGUUGUGUGGUGGAAAGAUUAGUUUCGGUAAGGGAUGAGCUCGCGGCCUAUCAGCUUGUUGGUGGGGUAAUGGCCUACCAAGGCGUCGACGGGUAGCCGGCCUGAGAGGGUGGACGGCCACAUUGGGACUGAGAUACGGCCCAGACUCCUACGGGAGGCAGCAGUGGGGAAUAUUGCACAAUGGGCGCAAGCCUGAUGCAGCGACGCCGCGUGGGGGAUGACGGCCUUCGGGUUGUAAACUCCUUUCAGCCAUGACGAAGCCCUUGUGGUGACGGUAGUGGUAGAAGAAGCACCGGCUAACUACGUG